rnacentral:rRNA from 1 species
UACGUAGGGCGCGAGCGUUGUCCGGAAUUAUUGGGCGUAAAAGAGCUCGUAGGCGGCUUGUCACGUCGGGUGUGAAAGACCGGGGCUUAACUCCGGUUCUGCAUUCGAUACGGGCUAGCUAGAGUGUGGUAGGGGAGAUCGGAAUUCCUGGUGUAGCGGUGAAAUGCGCAGAUAUCAGGAGGAACACCGGUGGCGAAGGCGGGAUCUCUGGGCCGUAACUGACGCUGAGGAGCGAAAGCAUGGGGAGCGAACAGG